rnacentral:rRNA from 1 species
CCUACGGGAGUCAGCAGUGAGGAAUAUUGGUCAAUGGACGCAAGUCUGAACCAGCCAUGCCGCGUGCAGGAAGACUGCUCUAUGAGUUGUAAACUUCUUUUUUACAAGGGUAAACGCAGAUACGCGUAUCUUUCUGCAAGUAUCUUAUGAAUAAGGAUCGGCUAAAUCCGUGCCAGCAGCCGCGGUAAUACGGAGGGUUCAGUCGUUAUCCGGAUUUAUUGGGUUUAAAGGGUGCGUAGGCGGUCGUCUAAGUUAGCGGUGAAAUCAAGAGGCUCAACUUUGGAAUUGCGGCUGAUACUGUUCGGCUAGAGAGUAGUUGCGGUAGGCGGAAUGUAUGGUGUAGCGGUGAAAUGCUUAGAGAUCAUACAGAACCCCGAUUGCGAAGGCAGCUUACCAAGCUACUUCUGACGUUGAGGCACGAAAGCGUGGGGAGCAAACAGGAUUAGAUACCCCAGUAGUC